GACGAACGCUGGCGGCGUGCCUAAUACAUGCAAGUAGAACGCAGUUGCGAACGGGUGAGUAACGCGUAGGUAACUGCCUCAUAGCGGGGGAUAACUAUUGGAAACGAUAGCUAAUACCGCAUACUGUGAGAUGGACCUGCGUUGUAUUAGCUAGUUGGUGAGGUAAAGGCUCACCAAGGCGACGAUACAUAGCCGACCUGAGAGGGAGGUCGGCCACAAUGGGACUGAAGAACAGCCCAGGCUCCUUCGGGAGGCAACAGUAGGGGAUCUGCGGCAAUUGACGGAAGGCUGACGGAGCAACGCCGCGUGAGAGAAGAAGGGCUUCGGGUCGUAAAGCUCUUUUGUUAGAGAAGCGGCAACUAAACAGAAAGGGACGGCUAACUACGUGCCAGCAGCCGCGGUAAUAC
rnacentral:rRNA from 1 species